CCUACGGGGGGCAGCAGUGAGGAAUAUUGGUCAAUGGACGCGAGUCUGAACCAGCCAAGUAGCGUGAAGGAUGUCGGCCCUAUGGGUUGUAAACUUCUUUUAUAAAGGAAUAAACCCAGGCACGUGUGCCUUUUUGCAUGUACUUUAUGAAUAAGGAUCGGCUAACUCCGUGCCAGCAGCCGCGGUAAUACGGAGGAUCCGAGCGUUAUCCGGAUUUAUUGGGUUUAAAGGGUGCGUAGGUGGGUGGUUAAGUCAGUUGUGAAAGUUUGCGGCUCAACCGUAAAAUUGCAAUUGAUACUGGCAGGCUUGAGUACAGUUGAGGUAGGCGGAAUGCGUGGUGUAGCGGUGAAAUGCUUAGAGAUCACGAAGAACCCCGAUUGCGAAGGCAGCUUACUAAGCUGUGACUGACAUUGAGGCUCGAAAGUGUGGGUAUCAAACAGGAUUAGAUACCCGAGUAGUC
rnacentral:rRNA from 1 species